rnacentral:rRNA from 1 species
UACGGGGGGGGCAAGCGUUGUUCGGAAUUACUGGGCGUAAAGGGCUCGUAGGCGGCCAACUAAGUCAGACGUGAAAUCCCUCGGCUUAACCGGGGAACUGCAUCUGAUACUGGAUGGCUUGAGUUCGGGAGAGGGAUGCGGAAUUCCAGGUGUAGCGGUGAAAUGCGCAGAUAUCAGGAGGAACACCGAUGGCGAAGGCAGGUCUCUGGGCAUUAACUGACGCUGAGGAGCGAAAGCAUGGGGAGCGAACAGG